CGAUCUCGCAUAUUAUCUUAUGCUUCUUCAUGCCAAUGGAGAGGGUGAAUUUGGUUUUAUGAAGACCAUGUUUAGUGCCUUCUCUUCGACAAAUGACCCACUUGACUACCAUAUGAUCUGGCAUCAGCGAGCAGUGUUGGAAGCUAUUGGUGUUUUAUCCUCUAAUGAUCUUCAAGUUCUUGACAUGGGACUUGUUUCACAGCUGUUGUGUAUUGGGCAAUGUCAUUGGGCUGUCUAUGUGGUCCUUCACAUGCCAUACCGUGAUGAUUAUCCAUAUCUCCAAGCUACCCUUAUUCGGGAAAUUUUGUUUCAGUAUUGCGAAACUUGGAGUUCAGAUGAAUCACAACGCCAAUUUAUCGAGAACCUUGACAUUCCUCUGUCAUGGCUGCAUGAAGCUAUGGCAGUUUACUUCAGUUACCAUGGGGACCUCUUGAAGGCCCUUGAGCACUAUCUUGAAUGUGCAAAUUGGCAGAAGGCUCAUUAUAUUUUCAUAACUUCAGUUUCACAUAAAUUGUUUUUAUCAGGCAACCACUCAGAGAUAUGGAGGCUUGCAACUUCGAUGGAGGACCACAAGUCUGAAAUUGAAGACUGGGACUUGGGAGCUGGAAUUUAUAUAUCUUUUUAUCUGAUAAGGAGUUCAUUGCAAGA
rnacentral:misc_RNA from 1 species